AUUCAAAGGUGUGGUUCUGUUUUUUCAGUGCAGUGAUAAUCUUAUGAUAUAUCAUUAUGAUGCUAGCUAAAUUUUUUAUGGUAUUCCAGGCCACUGGUGGUACCGAGCAGCUUCUUAUCAGUGAUUCUCCAAAAUCCACUACUGCCGUUUCUGUGAGUGCUGAUGAAUUGAAACAACAGAAUCUAGGCGUCAUGAACUUGAGCUUCAAGCACAGUCGAGAAAGCUCGAAUAUAUGGAGUAUCAAAGGCAAUUUGAGAGUGAAAGUAGACAAAAGCAAUUUACUGGACAAAGUCGGAGUGCAGAAACGGAAGAACAAGUUUCCCCACUGUCAGAUAAUCAAAAUGCGGAAUUGGAUGAACAAGUUUGUACCCAUAAUUGUUUCUUCAAGGAGAUUAUGUGCAUGGAUAGCUCAUUUGAGAAGCUUUUGAAGCAUGUAGAUCAGAACAAUCUAUUUGCUUGUGAAGGCUGUGGAAAACUCAGUUCUACUCAUCAAUUUCCUCCUCAUGUGUUCAUAACCAGCAUGUGGUUUCGAAUGGAAGACUGGUCAUGAGAGCACAGAUGAUAUAUCAACAACACUGUCGACUCCUUCUACCGAUUGUACCAUCAAAAGAAUGUUGAACUUGAAAAAAAAAAAACCAUCUUCCUCCAAGUUCUACUUCUAUUUGGCUCUAACAUCAUUAAGCCUAUGAGAUCCCCUUUAACUGCACCAAGUCUGAGAACUAGUCAUUUACUGGUGGCUCGGAUGAAUACAUAUCUUACUCUUUGGUAGAAUUUUUUGCACCCAAAUUUUUUUUUUUUCUAGUUGAUCUUCUCUACAACUGAAUUAACAGACUAAUGCAAGUACAUCAAAAUGUUUAUUUUGGCCAAGAAUCAGUUAUGCAUGCGUUAAGUACCAUUUACAAUCUUACUUAGUGCCCUCAUGCCCUCAUCUAACUUGUAGGUUUGUUUUUCUGGGGAAAAUUAUCAGUUCUUAGCUUACAAUCAUGUGCUUGAAAAAUGGAUUAUGCAUGAUGAAGAGUCUAAGGUCAUUGGUUGUUGGAACGAUGUUAUUACCCUAUGCAGAACAAGGAAUUUACAAUCUCAGAUUCUCUUCUUUGAAGAAAAAUGUGGAUUUGUUAAAGGAAAGUCCAUUGUGGUUCCACUACCAACCUGGUCUUGAAAAAUGGUGUUUCUUCGUCGGACAGGCAUGUCCAGACUGCGCUGGUUCGUUUCUACGCAGAGGGCAGUUGUUUGAUGAAAUUCAGUACAGUGGAAUGUUUUUCUAUAUGGGUAUGUUGGGCGUGGUUUGGCUGCUGAGGCUUUGAAUGCUUCCGGGAGUUGGGCCUGCUGAAUUCUGUUUGACCACUACGCUUAAGGUUUGUGCUCAUUUGGGGGCUCUUGAGCAAGGAAAGUGGAUCCAUGAGUAUGUUAGCAAAAGGAAAUGUCUGGAAGCUGAUGUGUUUAUUGGGACUGCGCUAGUUGAUAUGCAUGUCAAAUGUUGGUGUAGAGGUCUUCAAGGGGAAUGCCUAAGAGGAAUGUGUUCUCAUGGUCAGCUAUGAUUGGGGGGUUUGCACUACAUGGGCAUGUGAGAAAAGCCAUGCAAUGCUUGGAGAGAAUGCAGGUGGAAGAUGGGCUUAGACCAGAUGGGGUUGUUCUUCUUGAAGUCACGAUGGCUUGUGCCCAUGCAGGACUCCAGGAAGAAGGCCAGUUUCUACUAAACAAAAUGGAAGCUUGAUAUGGUGGUAUCUUACCCAAACAUUGAGCACUAUAGUUGCAUGGUCGACUUGUUCUGCAGGGCAGGUCGGUUAGAGCCUUAGAGGAAGCACCCAAGCUCAUAAGAAGAAUGCCCAUGAAGCCACUAGCUCCAGUCUGGGGCGCCUUACUGACUGGUUGUCAAACUCAUAACAACGUUGAUCUCGCAGAGCUUGCUGCUAGAGAGCUUCUAAUGACAGGAAACUUAUGUUCAGUCAUCCAACAUCUAUUUGGCUGCAUAGAAAUGUGAAGAUGCCUGUAGGAUCCCAAGGAUGAUUGGUGAUAAAGGGAUAAAAAAAGAAAAGAAAAAAAGCCAGGAUGCCGUGUGAUAGAAGUGGAAGGGGAAGUUCUA